AUUGAACGCUGGCGGCAGGCCUAACACAUGCAAGUCGAGCGGCGCGGCGAACGGGUGAGUAAUGCCUAGGGAUCUGCCUGUUAGUGGGGUAUCACGUACGGAAACGUGCGCUAAUGCCGCAUACUAUCAGAUGACCCUAGGUCGGAUUAGCUAGUUGGUGGGGUAGAGGCCUACCAAGGCGACGAUCCGUAGCUGGUCUGAGAGGAUGAUCGGUCACACUGGAACGGAGAAACGGGCCAGACUCCUACGGGAGGCAGCAGUGGGGAAUAGUGGACAAUGGGCGAAAGCCUGAUCCAGCAAUGCCGCGUGUGUGAAGAAGGUUUUCGGAUUGUAAAGCACUUUAAGUUGGGAGGCGUUACCAACAGAAUAAGCACCGGCUAACUUCGUGCCAGCAGCCGCGGUAAUAC
rnacentral:rRNA from 1 species